rnacentral:rRNA from 1 species
UGCUUAAACAUAAGAGGUCCAGCCUGCCCAGUGACAAAGUUUAACGGCCGCGGUACUCUGACCGUGCGAAGGUAGCAUAAUCACUUGUUCUUUAAAUGGGGACUUGUAUCAACGGCAUCACGAGGGCCAUACUGUCUCCUUUUUCCAAUCAGUGAAACUGAUCUUCCCGUGAAGAAGCGGGAAUUAACCUAUAAGACGAGAAGACCCCAUGGAGCUUUAAACCCAACAACAAGUCUAAAUAAACAUACCCUAAAAAUUAAUGACACCUGAACUGUUGGUUUUAGGUUGGGGUGACCGCGGAGUAUAAACUAACCUCCACGACGAACGGGACUAAACCCUUAUCUACGAGCCACCGCUCCAAGAAUCAGCACACUGACUUCUAAUGAUCCGAUAUUCGAUCAACGAACCAAGUUACCCUGGGGAUAACAGCGCUAUCCAUUUCAAGAGCUCCUAUCGACAAAUGGGUUUACGACCUCGAUGUUGGAUCAGGGUAUCCUAGUGGUGCAGCCGCUACUAAAGGUUUGUUUGUUCAACAAUUAAAACCCU